AUUGAACGCUGGCGGCAUGCUUUACACAUGCAAGUCGAACGGUAACAGGCCGCAAGGUGCUGACGAGUGGCGAACGGGUGAGUAAUGCAUCGGAACGUGCCCAGCCGUGGGGGAUAACUACUCGAAAGAGUAGCUAAUACCGCAUACGAUCUAUGGAUGAAAGCGGGGGACCGUAAGGCCUCGCGCGAUUGGAGCGGCCGAUGUCAGAUUAGGUAGUUGGUGGUGUAAAGGCUCACCAAGCCAACGAUCUGUAGCUGGUCUGAGAGGACGACCAGCCACACUGGGACUGAGACACGGCCCAGACUCCUACGGGAGGCAGCAGUGGGGAAUUUUGGACAAUGGGCGCAAGCCUGAUCCAGCAAUGCCGCGUGCAGGAAGAAGGCCUUCGGGUUGUAAACUGCUUUUGUACGGAACGAAACGGCUCUGGUUAAUACCCGGGGCUAAUGACGGUACCGUAAGAAUAAGCACCGGCUAACUACGUG
rnacentral:rRNA from 1 species